rnacentral:rRNA from 1 species
UGCGUACGCAGCCGAGUCGCGCAACACAUGCAAGUCGAGCGAGCGGCGGACGGGUGAGUAAUGUCUGGGAAACUGCCUGAUGGAGGGGGAUAACUACUGGAAACGGUAGCUAAUACCGCAUACCAUCAGAUGUGCCCAGAUGGGAUUAGCUAGUAGGUGGGGUAACGGCUCACCUAGGCGACGAUCCCUAGCUGGUCUGAGAGGAUGACCAGCCACACUGGAACUGAGACACGGUCCAGACUCCUACGGGAGGCAGCAGUGGGGAAUAUUGCACAAUGGGCGCAAGCCUGAUGCAGCCAUGCCGCGUGUAUGAAGAAGGCCUUCGGGUUGUAAAGUACUUUCAGCGGGGAGGCGUUACCCGCAGAAGAAGCACCGGCUAACUCCGUGCCAGCAGCCGCGGUAAUAC